GGAAUAUUGCACAAUGGGCGCAAGCCUGAUGCAGCCAUGCCGCGUGUAUGAAGAAGGCCUUCGGGUUGUAAAGUACUUUCAGCGGGGAGGAAGGCGGUGAGGUUAAUAACCUCGCCGAUUGACGUUAUCCGCAGAAGAAGCACCGGCUAACUCCGUGCCAGCAGCCGCGGUAAUACGGAGGGUGCAAGCGUUAAUCGGAAUUACUGGGCGUAAAGCGCACGCAGGCAGUCUGUUAAGUCAGAUGAGAAAUCCCCGGGCUUAACCUGGGAACUGCAUUUGAAACUGGCAGGAUUGAGUCUCGUAGAGGGGGGUAGAAUUCCAGGUGUAGCGGUGAAAUGCGUAGAGGUAUGGAGGAAUACCGGUGGCGAAGGCGGCCCCCUGGACGAAGACUGACGCUCAGGUGCGAAAGCGUGGGGAGC
rnacentral:rRNA from 1 species